rnacentral:rRNA from 1 species
GGAGGAGCCCAGAGCCUGAAUCAGUGUGUGUGUUAGUGGAAGCGUCUGGAAAGGCGCGCGAUACAGGGUGACAGCCCCGUACACAAAAAUGCACAUAUUGUGAGCUCGAUGAGUAGGGCGGGACACGUGGUAUCCUGUCUGAAUAUGGGGGGACCAUCCUCCAAGGCUAAAUACUCCUGACUGACCGAUAGUGAACCAGUACCGUGAGGGAAAGGCGAAAAGAACCCCGGCGAGGGGAGUGAAAAAGAACCUGAAACCGUGUACGUACAAGCAGUGGGAGCCUCUUAAUGGGGUGACUGCGUACCUUUUGUAUAAUGGGUCAGCGACUUAUAUUCUGUAGCAAGGUUAACCGAAUAGGGGAGCCGAAGGGAAACCGAGUCUUAACUGGGCGUUAAGUUGCAGGGUAUAGACCCGAAACCCGGUGAUCUAGCCAUGGGCAGGUUGAAGGUUGGGUAACACUAACUGGAGGACCGAACCGACUAAUGUUGAAAAAUUAGCGGAUGACUUGUGGCUGGGGGUGAAAGGCCAAUCAAACCGGGAGAUAGCUGGUUCUCCCCGAAAGCUAUUUAGGUAGCGCCUCGUGAAUUCAUCUCCGGGGGUAGAGCACUGUUUCGGCAAGGGGGUCAUCCCGACUUACCAACCCGAUGCAAACUGCGAAUACCGGAGAAUGUUAUCACGGGAGACACACGGCGGGUGCUAACGUCCGUCGUGAAGAGGGAAACAACCCAGACCGCCAGCUAAGGUCCCAAAGUCAUGGUUAAGUGGGAAACGAUGUGGGAAGGCCCAGACAGCCAGGAUGUUGGCUUAGAAGCAGCCAUCAUUUAAAGAAAGCGUAAUAGCUCACUGGUCGAGUCGGCCUGCGCGGAAGAUGUAACGGGGCUAAACCAUGCACCGAAGCUGCGGCAGCGACACUAUGUGUUGUUGGGUAGGGGAGCGUUCUGUAAGCCUGUGAAGGUGGCCUGUGAGGGUUGCUGGAGGUAUCAGAAGUGCGAAUGCUGACAUAAGUAACGAUAAAGCGGGUGAAAAGCCCGCUCGCCGGAAGACCAAGGGUUCCUGUCCAACGUUAAUCGGGGCAGGGUGAGUCGACCCCUAAGGCGAGGCCGAAAGGCGUAGUCGAUGGGAAACAGGUUAAUAUUCCUGUACUUGGUGUUACUGCGAAGGGGGGACGGAGAAGGCUAUGUUGGCCGGGCGACGGUUGUCCCGGUUUAAGCGUGUAGGCUGGUUUUCCAGGCAAAUCCGGAAAACCAAGGCUGAGGCGUGAUGACGAGGCACUACGGUGCUGAAGUGACAAAUGCCCUGCUUCCAGGAAAAGCCUCUAAGCAUCAGGUAACAUCAAAUCGUACCCCAAACCGACACAGGUGGUCAGGUAGAGAAUACCAAGGCGCUUGAGAGAACUCGGGUGAAGGAACUAGGCAAAAUGGUGCCGUAACUUCGGGAGAAGGCACGCUGAUAUGUAGGUGAAGCGACUUGCUCGUGGAGCUGAAAUCAGUCGAAGAUACCAGCUGGCUGCAACUGUUUAUUAAAAACACAGCACUGUGCAAACACGAAAGUGGACGUAUACGGUGUGACGCCUGCCCGGUGCCGGAAGGUUAAUUGAUGGGGUUAGCGGUAACGCGAAGCUCUUGAUCGAAGCCCCGGUAAACGGCGGCCGUAACUAUAACGGUCCUAAGGUAGCGAAAUUCCUUGUCGGGUAAGUUCCGACCUGCACGAAUGGCGUAAUGAUGGCCAGGCUGUCUCCACCCGAGACUCAGUGAAAUUGAACUCGCUGUGAAGAUGCAGUGUACCCGCGGCAAGACGGAAAGACCCCGUGAACCUUUACUAUAGCUUGACACUGAACAUUGAGCCUUGAUGUGUAGGAUAGGUGGGAGGCUUUGAAGUGUGGACGCCAGUCUGCAUGGAGCCGACCUUGAAAUACCACCCUUUAAUGUUUGAUGUUCUAACGUUGGCCCGUAAUCCGGGUUGCGGACAGUGUCUGGUGGGUAGUUUGACUGGGGCGGUCUCCUCCUAAAGAGUAACGGAGGAGCACGAAGGUUGGCUAAUCCUGGUCGGACAUCAGGAGGUUAGUGCAAUGGCAUAAGCCAGCUUGACUGCGAGCGUGACGGCGCGAGCAGGUGCGAAAGCAGGUCAUAGUGAUCCGGUGGUUCUGAAUGGAAGGGCCAUCGCUCAACGGAUAAAAGGUACUCCGGGGAUAACAGGCUGAUACCGCCCAAGAGUUCAUAUCGACGGCGGUGUUUGGCACCUCGAUGUCGGCUCAUCACAUCCUGGGGCUGAAGUAGGUCCCAAGGGUAUGGCUGUUCGCCAUUUAAAGUGGUACGCGAGCUGGGUUUAGAACGUCGUGAGACAGUUCGGUCCCUAUCUGCCGUGGGCGCUGGAGAACUGAGGGGGGCUGCUCCUAGUACGAGAGGACCGGAGUGGACGCAUCACUGGUGUUCGGGUUGUCAUGCCAAUGGCACUGCCCGGUAGCUAAAUGCGGAAGAGAUAAGUGCUGAAAGCAUCUAAGCACGAAACUUGCCCCGAGAUGAGUUCUCCCUGAGACUUAGAGUCUCCUGAAGGAACGUUGAAGACGACGACGUUGAUAGGCCGGGUGUGUAAGCGCAGCGAUGCGUUGAGCUAACCGGUACUAAUGAACCGUGAGGCUUAACCUU